GGCGGGAAAGGGGAGCGCCUCCGACUUCCAGCCGAGGGUCUGUGGGCCUCGGAAGAACGUCGAAAGUUGCCACCAAUCCUGAACUUCCACAACUGCCUGACUCCCAAACUUCUGAGUUUGAGCUAAGUCUAGACCUCCCAUGACAGCACUGCUGCCUUUCUAGUUUCCCUCUCUGCAGCUGCCCUGAGAAUGAUUGGAAGAAAUCAGAGAGGAGGAGACAAGAGAUUGCCAAGGUAGUAUUUUGUAGUACAAAAAUGGGGCAACGUGAAACUAUAAGAAUUUCAGAUACUUUAACUAAGAUUUGGAGUAAGAGGAAAAUGUCCAAAUCAAAAUGAUCCAAGAGUAAAUUUAAUUUUCAUGUGUCUGAAAUGUGUUGUGGAGUUAAAAUUCAUAUAAUAUAUUUGCUCCUACGUAGGAACAGAUAUUGGAGUACAAUCCCACACCUGCUGCUUAUAUUGCUUUUAGCUCCUGGUUGAGCUAGGUUCAAUAACCUACCUCAAUAGCAAUUCUUCAGGGUGCAGAAAAACAUAAGGAUCAAAAGAAUUUAUUUUAAACACCAGUUUUAUUACCAAAGGCAGAAUUUAUCUUAUUAGAAGGAAAGCCACAAUCCUAAAGAGGGUCAUUUGUCUUCUUACACAGAAAUAAACAACUAGCAAAACUGUAUGUUAAGUCCUACAGACUUCCUAAGCUAUCAGGGAAGGCCAC